rnacentral:misc_RNA from 1 species
GGGAGGCCUCGGGUCAACCCUCCCACCCGUGUUUAACGAACCUUGUUGCUUCGGCGGGCCCGCCUCACGGCCGCCGGGGGGCAUCCGCCCCCGGGCCCGCGCCCGCCGAAGACACCUGUGAACACUGUCUGAAGUUGCAGUCUGAGAAACUAGCUAAAUUAGUUAAAACUUUCAACAACGGAUCUCUUGGUUCCGGCAUCGAUGAAGAACGCAGCGAAAUGCGAUAAAUAAUGUGAAUUGCAGAAUUCAGUGAAUCAUCGAGUCUUUGAACGCACAUUGCGCCCUCUGGUAUUCCGGAGGGCAUGCCUGUCCGAGCGUCAUUGCUGCCCUCAAGCACGGCUUGUGUGUUGGGCCCCCGUCCCCCCGCCAGGGGGGACGGGCCCGAAAGGCAGCGGCGGCACCGCGUCCGGUCCUCGAGCGUAUGGGGCUCUGUCACCCGCUCUUGUAGGCCCGGCCGGCGCCAGCCGACCCCCCUCAAUCUAUUUUUUCAGG